AAUAUGCACCAUUUAUUGAGGAGUUGUGGAGGGAUGCAGGCUUCCAAGCCACAUACAACCGGAGAAAUGAAUUAGACAUGCUUCCCAGACAUGCCACCUAUUUCCUAGAACGGGUUAGAUCACUAUCUAUGGUCAUUGUCUGCUGAGUAUUUCAUUAUUCAUAUUUGGUUCAGCUUCAGUAUGUAUCUUUUGUUUUUGGAUCAAUAGAGUCUUGAUUGUUUAUUUCAUUUGCCUCAUGAUUGUCCAGUGAUCUUGAAUAGCAUCCUCUAUUCCAUAGACAUGUCAUAAUUGUCAAUGUACAUAUGACCUGCACCGUAAUUUAAAAAUUCCAAGUAUAUAUUUAAUAUUCUUGUAUUUUGGCUUCUUAUUAAUCAUGUGCUUUCUUAUCCCAUGUCAUUUCAGAAAGCAUAUUUCAUAAAAGAUAUUUUUUGAAACUAAAAUGAAAGGCAUUCUGAAUUCACACCAUCAGUUCUCUUCGUGUAUUGUUUCUCAAAAGCUUGAACGAGGAAAGAUGAUUGUUUUGAUUUGUACUUCACUGUUUGCUAUUUUUUUCAAUAUUAACAUUAGUUUCCCUCUCAGGCUGUUGAGAUUUCAAGGACAGGCUAUGAGCCCUCAGAUAUGGAUAUCUUGUAUGCUGAGGAAAUUACAUCAAGCAAUGGGCUUUCGUCCAUGGUAUUUUCAUUACCGGAGCAGACACAAGAAAACUCCAUAAGUGACUCUUCCAAUCAGAAUGAUCCCUUGCUCAGGUUACUGUCUAAUCUGUGCUUUAAAUUUACGUAUAAGCCAAACAUGCAUUGCACUUUGCCAGAUUUUUGCUAUUGCUGUUGCUGUCAAAUGCCAUUGUGAGAUUUAGCUACCGAAGGAAAGGACUUCAUGGGUAGUAAUUCUGGCUUGCAGAUUGAAUUUCGGGUAGCUUAACUCAGUUUGAAUGGGGAUAUUGUCAUCAAUGAAUUGAGUCUGCAAUUCUGUUGGAACUGGAAGUUAUUAGCUAAGUUAGUGGUCCCACUUGGCUUGGCAAGACACAGAAAGAAUAAUCAGUUAAUUGCCUUUCAACUUCAAGAAUACUUUAAAUUUACCAGCAUUUCAUACUUGAGUUUUAGCUAUUGAUUUAUUUCUCUUCUUUGGCAUGAAAUGUUUUAGCAAUCAAAUAUGAAUAAUCUUUUACAGCUGUGAUGGAUCUUUGGCAUAAGUUUCUUGAAAGUGGGGAACGAUGUAUGAUUGAUUAUAAAUUGUUCAUCUAACUUACCAAUUUUUGCUUUGCACUUGCAGCUAUCAACUCAUUAGAGUGCAUCCAAGAAGCCUCGGGGAGAACUGCAAGUGGCUAGAAAUGUUUGAAGAUGUUGAUAUGAUCCUCUUUUGUGUUUCUUUGACUGACUACGAUGAAUAUUUUGAAGAUAGCAAAGGAUUUCUCACCAACAAGAUGUUGGCAAGCAGGCAGCUCUUCCAAAACAUUGUCAUUCAUCCAACCUUCAAUCAAAAGAACUUCCUUCUGAUACUCAACAAGUAUGAUAUGUUAGAGGAAAAGAUUGAAGAAGUUCCUCUCUCUCGAUGUGAAUGGUUUGAAGACUUCAAUCCGGUGAUCAGCCAUAAUCACCAUAGCACUAGUAGAAGAACUAGCAACACACCACUGGCUGUAUCUGCCGCCCACUACAUUGCAGUGAAGUUCAAGAGGUUGUUCGAUUCUCUAACUGGUCGUAAGUUGUUUGUUUCAGUAGUUACUGCCUUGGAGCCUGAGACUGUAGAUGAAGCUCUCAAUUAUGCAAAGGAGAUUCUGAAGUGGGAGGAAGAGGAACCUGUCUACACUAACAUUGAGUCAACUGAUUACGAGGCAAGCUCAUCAUCAUGAAUUUUCUUCUCGGGUUGAAUUUUGCUCAUCCAUCCUCAGUUAUACAAAACAUUGGAAAGGAUUUUUUUUUUUUUCCAAAGAUAGAAGAACAUCAGAAGAAAAUACAUUGGGUCAAGCACAUGCUUGUGUAUACUAAUCCAGAUUUGCAUAGAAGUUAGGGAGAUUAAGAUUCUUUCCUAGAGCUGUAAAGAACUGUCGUUUUGCCAUUUCAAUUAAGAUUUAGUAAAUAAAAGAAGAAUAAUUACUUUGCACAAUGAGACACAUAGCUGACAAGCUUGCAUAAAUACAAACGGACAUGGAAUUCAUUUUCGUUGCCUGAAUUUAACUGACGGAUUACAUAUCUUGUCUACAAACAAACAUGAAAAAAAAAGACCAUUUUAACUACAUAAGGCUUCACAGAAAGAUUGAAUACACAUCAACAAGGCACAAACCGGUCCAUAAGCAAACAGAUAGUAGUCUCUGAUAUUGUACUUUCAUCUUCAACCUCUUUGGUGCUCUCCUUUUUAUCUUCUUUCCCACGUACUUGUUCUUUCUUAGCUCUUAACACAAACGGCUUCCUGCCUUUAACCUUCUCUCCCAGCUUCGCAAGCUCACCCAUGCAUAUCUCCACAACUGCCGACAUUUUCACUGCGAUAACCAAGAACCCACUUGGAAUUUUCAGCUGGCUCUUUCUUUCUUGUUGAUCUUUCUUUAUUGAAUAUGAAACGAGAAGCAACGUGGGGUUUAUAAAGAAGAGAAGGCGAGCAAAAGUCCACGUAGAAUUUGGCGGGUUCUGGAGAACCGCUGGUUUUGACUGUUGGGGAGAAAAAUCAAUGUGUGGAUGCCCACAGAGAUGCCGUUUUGAGAACCUUCUGUUCCAUUUAUCUUUCUUUGGAUUGGAUAUUCCCGCGUUUGCAAGAAAAUAUCCUUUUGCGUGACAGUUCUAAUGUGUGACUACUCACACAUUAAUUAUCAAUGCUCAAUUUCAAAACUAACCUCUAGUUCUUAACUUGGAGUAUUUGAUCAAACGGUGAGCUACUAAUAUCUUACAUUGUUUUAUUAAUUUAGAGUUACAUCUUAAAACAUUUUAUUAGCACAGACUGACAGACACGUAACAAUUUUAUAUUACUAUAUAAAAUCUAAUAAAAUUAGACUCAUUAAUAUAAUAUUUGAUUAUAUAAUAAAAGAGUCUAUAAAAAUUUAUUCUGAUCAAAUAAAUAAAUAAUAAUUAGAGUGAUUUAUCCCGUGAUAUGGUUUUAAACCGCACCAAUUUUUUUUUUAAAAACUUAAAAAGAUCUUUUUAGGGUAGAGUUGUAUAGCAAGAUGCUAAUUUUAUUUUUAAAUUUAUAUUUUAUCAAUUAAAUUAGAGGUUUUUAGGAAAUAAAAUUUAAAAAGGGUAUUGUAAGGAUUUUAGAGGGGUGUUAGAAGCCCCACUCUUUUGUACUAGUGCUACGGACAUAUGGUUACAAUUGAUAUUGGCCUAUGGGUAAAGCCCUGUAUUUUAUGUUAUCCACUAUAAUUCUAGGUGAACUUAUUGAGGCUAAUCUUGAAUUAGGGGUGGACAAAUACUUCAAUCCAAUUGAAUCUGAAUCGCAAUGCAGCGAUGCACAUACAAGCACAAAGUUUUGAUCCAAUCCAAUUUAUAUUCGGAUUUAAUCGGAUUGUAUUAUAAGUUUGGGUUGAGUUCAGAUUACUUUUUUUUUUCCAAUUUGUUUAAUCCAAAAUCCGAUCGCGUUAAUUCGAACCUGAAUUUUCCUACCCCUACAACUAUCAUUAGAGGAUAUAAUUAAAAAGAAAUGAGUUAUACGAUUAUUUGCAAUAAUUCAUGUCUAAAGCUAUGAAGCAAAUACCCAAACAUCAUCAGCAAAUAAUUAAUGUCUUAUUUAUAAGUUUGAAAACGAAAUAACCCCAUCGAUAGCGCUUCCACAUUGUAAAUCGCACUUAUUCCAUUACAAACAAACAAUUAAGUACCAUACCAUAACCUAAAUUUCUAUCUUAAAAAUGGUUCCUUAUCUAAAUAUAAUAAUUAGUCAUUGAAAAAUCCAUAAAAUUUAAUAUACAAUCACCGACCUUAUGAUUGAUGUAAAAUGCAUUUUUUUUUCAAUUUUAUUUUGUCAUACACCCACCACUUGUUUUCUAUAUUAACAUAAAUUCCAAUUUUUUCAUUUAUUAAUAUUUUAAUGCGAUCACAAUACUCGUUCCAAGAUGUAUUAUAUAGGAUUAAUAUUAUGACAUAGUCUCAAGUCUGACCUAUCUCAACUUAGGUAGUUGAACGUACUUGACCAAAUUACCCUUUCUUAGCGCCAAAAUUCAGUUAGGUACAAUCAAUCGCAGCAGCAAGUACUUUGAAAUUUUGAAACGAAGCACACAUGUUUCGUUCUGGCGUGACUGAUCAGUUCCUCGCAGCUUCCUCUUCAACCUCAAAGCGUUGACGAAGGAAAAAUGAAAAGAGUCUUCACUGGUGAGAGCACAACUCUACAGGAAAGAAUUCACAUUUUCUUUGUUCUUUAUUAUUUCUUUCAACUGUCACUUUGCCUUCAUGAUUUUCAUUUUCUUCAUUCUCUUCGUGGCAGCCUCCCUUUUCUCCAAUUCCUAAUAAACGCCAAAAAUGCUUCGUUUAGUUCUCUUAUUGAUUGAUUUUGCUUUCUGGGUUUGUGAGAUAUGUUGAUUUUGCUUCAUGGGUUGUUUUUUCAAUUAGUUAUAUUUUGUGGGUUUUUGAAAUAUUUGGUCAUGCUUCAUCUGUGUAUUUGAUGAUCAUUUCGUUUUGCUUCAUGCUUCUUAAAUCAUUGAAAUGAUUGAUUAAGUUUCUUGUAUGCUUUGAUGGAUUGUUGAAGUAAUUGAUUUUGCUCCGUGGGUAUGUUGAACUAUUGGCUUUUAUUUAUUGGGGGUUUUUUAAUUAGUGUUUUAAUUGGUUUAUUGGUUUAUUGAAAUAGGGUUACUGGUUUUGAGUUGAUUUUGAGUAGGGUUUACAAAAUGGCUCAGCUUUUGAGGAAAAUUCUGCCUGUUGUGCCAUUGAGAUCAAAACCUUAUGAUGAUGAUGAGGAUGAUAAAAAUAACACUGAAUAUUCAUUUGCCGUUGAGUAUUCUGGCCCUCUGAUCAGUUCUGAUAUUCCCCUGGCAUCGCCAAUAGUUGUUGACCAAAUCCCCAUUGCUGUUACGGUUGCCUCUCCUUCCUUGUUAAGAGAUAGGUCGUUGCCAGUAAUCCAACCAACUGUAAAAAGUACUCCAGGAGGCAGAAGACGGUUGAAGGAGCCUGAAUUAAGUUCUGAACCUACAUUACGUAGUAAUUCAUUGACCAAUUCCGGAGCGUCCUUGACUGGUCCUAAUGUGUCCUGUGAAUCACAAAGUUUGGUAGAUAGCUCAGGUGAUGUUGGAUGUGCAACUGGUGAUUACUCCCAGCCCAAGUCAGUUAAUGGAGUUAGAAGUUCCAGUAAAUUCAGAAGUCCUGAUGCUCAAGAUAAUUCAUCUGACGUAAUAAGAAGUUCUGCUAAACUGAAUAGUCUUGAUCGUCAUGAUAAUUUGUGUGUAAUUCUAAAAUUAUCUGAUGGUAGUGAAGAAGGUGCAGAUGCAGGCCUGCAAAAUGGUAUAAAUCCUGCCAAUUUGGAUUUAACAGAUUCUGGUUUAAGUUCACAUGAACAUACAUCAAAGUUUUUUUCUUGCAAUGAGGGAUAUUUUGGUGAUGAAGAAACUCCUUCCAAUGUUAGAGGAUCAUCAGUUGUUAUUUCUGAUGAUCCUGAGACAAGUGAUAUAGUCCAUGAAGAAUCUGAUAACUCUGAAAGCGUCCAUCUGAGAGCAAAGGCUGAAAGAUAUGGGAAGAAAAGUUCAUGCUGUCAAUGCUUGCAGGAAUAUCAAUCUCUUGAAAUGGAGGUUUGCAUAGUUUGUGAUACAAUGUAUUGUUGUAACUGUGUGGUGAGAGCAAUGGGGUCAACACCUGAAGGAAGAAAAUGUGUUUCCUGUGUUGAUUCCAGGUUAGAUGUGUGCAUGCCCAUGUCAUCUAAUGGAAUAGGAAGUUCUGGUAAAUCAAAUAGCCUCAACUGUUACGAUAAUAUGCCUGCAAACAAUGAAUUGCCCGAUAAUAGGAACGAUGGCGCUAAUGCAGGAUUUCAUGAUUAUAUGAAUCCUGCUGACUCAGAGUCAACGGAGUCAGAUGUAAGUUCAUACAGUGUUUCAUCUGAGGUGUUUUCUUGCAAAGAGGAGGGUUUUAAUAACGAAGAAACUCCUGGCCAUGUUAGAAGACCAUCAGUCGUUAGUUUCCGUGACCCUGACCCAAGUGAUACAGUUUAUGAAGAAUCUGAUUAUUCUGAGGUUGAAAGCAUCCAUGAGAGGCCAAAGGCUGUAAGGCCAGGGAAGAAAGGUUCGUGCUAUCGAUGCUUGAAAGGAAAUCGGUUCACUGAGAAGGAUUUCUGUAUUGUUUGUGGUGCAAAAUAUUGUUCAAACUGUGUGCUGAGGGCAAUGGGAUCAAUGCCAGAAGGAAGAAAAUGUGUUACUUGCAUUGGUUUCAGCGUGGAUGAUUCUAAGAGACGAAACCUGGGGAAGUGUUCUCAGAUGCUCAAAAGAUUGCUGACUGAGACGGAAGUUAAACAAAUAAUGAGAUCUGAAAUAUUGUGCAAAGCAAAUCAGUUGCCACCAGAGCGUGUUUUUGUGAAUGGUGAACAUUUAUCUCAGAAAGAGCUCGUUAUACUGCUUAGCUGCCCAAACCCUCCAAAAAAGCUAAAUCCAGGAACCUAUUGGUAUGAUAAAGUGUUGGGUUUUUGGGGAGAGGUAAACAUCAGAAACUGCUGCUAUUAUUUAAUAUUCUUUUCUUGUUUAUUCUAAUUCCAUUGCACCAUGAUAGAAUUAAUAUUUGAAUUCCAUUGCACCAUGAACAGGAAGGACACCGGCCUUGCCAGAUUAUAAGCCCCCAGCUGAAUGUCGGGGGUCAGAUAAUGAAAAAUGCUAGCAACGGAAAUACAAAUGUCAUGAUCAAUAAUCGGGAGAUUACUAGAAGAGAGCUCUGGAUGCUUAAGGUCAUUUCAGUGGGCAAAUUUAUGUUCAUUUGAAAUUCAGUGUUUCUAAAAAUAAGAUCCAUACUGUUCUGUAUUUCUGUUAAAUGCUGCAGUUAGCAGGAGUGCAAUGUGAAGGACAACAUCACUUUUGGGUGAGCGCAGACGGUUCCUACCUGGAAGAGGGAAUGAGAGAUAUAAAGGGGCGUAUAUGGGACAAGGUAUGUCUGCAUAUGGAUGUGCAUUGGCUUUCUUAGUUAAACUAUUCCUUAAUUUCUGAUUUGUGAUUACCGUGUAUGUACUUUACAGAGUACAAUAAAACUAGUUUGUGCUUUGUUGUCUUUGCCAACCCCUCCUGAUUCUGAGAAUCCUUGUGGCAAUGAAGUGAAUGGCGUUAACCCGUGUGAGCAGCAAAGACUUAUUAAACUUUUUCUUCUUGGUGAACACAAAUCAGGCACGAGUACCAUAUAUAAACAGGUAGGAAUUAUUGGAACCUGUAAGAAACUUUGUCUAAUACACAUGCUAUUAUUAUUCAUAUAUUAUUAAUCUGACUGGUGAACAUUGGAUGGCUUAUAUUUAUCUUAUUAUGCAGCCAGCUUGUGUUGUCGUUUUGCUUCAUGUCUUGUCAUUUCUAGGACUUCAAGAUUUUAAAAGGAAAGAUGUUUUAGAGCAUGUUAGUUGAUUUUUAAAAUUUGUAUUCGAUGUAGUAUACUUAUUCACAAAGAUGUCAGAUUAUGUUAUUUGACAACUAGCUUAAGAUUUCAUUGUUUAACAACAUUCAUCGAAGGUACAAUAAAUUGUCUAAUUGCACUUUGGUACGAAGAGUGUUUUUUAUUGUGCAUAAAAAGCUACAUACAAGGUGGUCUCAUAUCAUCACACUGCCGUUGAUGCUUAAAAUAUAGUAGCGGAAAUCCUUUCUCCUUCUUGGUUACAUGCUGUUUUUUGUGACUUUAUGGGGACAUUAUGCCUUUCUAGAUCACGUUAAGUUUUUGUAUUUGUAAUAAAGCAAAGGCCAUAAGCCUUUGUUAAGGUCUUAAAACUGAAAUUUUGAUUCCAUGGUGAAUUGAACAUCAAGUUUUAUUCUUUGUUUCGGCUGUACUUAAAGACUUUUAUCAUUUUUUUAUUUUGUAUCCCUUUUGUACCUUUUUCUCUUUCUCCCUUUUUAGACAUUGGUGCAAAGGCACAUGAUGACAGAGAUGUUUGUUUCAGGCCAAACUUCUGUUCAAGGUUCCAUUCUCUGAAGAAGAGCGUCAAAAUAUUAAGUUCAUGAUCCAAAGUAAUCUGUACUUCUAUAUUGGUAUUUUGCUUGAGGGCCGUGAGCGAUUUGAAGAAGAAAGCUUGUUUGGGAAGGGAAAAAGACAGGUUAUUGACGAGCCAGGUCCUUCAGGUAACAUAGAGAUUAGAUUUACUUCUCUUUUCCAGUGCUUGUAUGAUUUGCUGUUUAUUGAAUGUUCCAUGAGAUCUUGUUUGGAGCAUGCAUAUGACGCAUAAAAAUGUUUGCCUUUGUUAUCUACUGUUUUGAGUUAUUUCUGGUAGAUAUUGAACAUAUGUAUAUCACUUUUUUCUGGGAAGUCUAGCUUGUCAAAAGUCAAGUUCUUUGUUAUUAUUUUACAUGCAUGGAGUGCAGUUUUACUUUCACUCGAUUUUUUGGACUUCUUAGUGCCUUUAGCGUUAAAAUUAUCAAUUGUGUUGGAUUGAAGUUCAUCACAUCAGCAAGUUGACCCUGAGGGUGGAAGGGACAACUAUGAUGUCCAGUAUUUUGUACAUUUAAUUAUUGAGCAUUUAAUAACUGUGGUCUCAUUGAAAUUUAAUGAUAUUUUUAUUCUGUACCUUCACUAUAAUCUUCUUGCAGACACAAUUCUGGCCUGUGGUUUUGAUUUCAGUAUCUGGUAGAACAUGAAAUUUGGAGAUAAAUCAUUGUCUGCAGCCAAUUAGAACUUUCUUGUGACUAACCUGUGCCAUCAGUAGUAAACCUCAAAUUUCUUUAAAAUGUUCUUUUAACAUGUUUAACUAUUUAAAAUCAUUGGAGUAAAGAGCAUAUUGAAAUAGCAUCACAUAGCUUGUGAACAUAUUUGAUUCUUCUUGGUGGUUGUAAAUUUCAUUUUUUUUUUAAGAAAAAUAAUCAUAUUUCUUUCUUUCCUUAUUUUUGAGGUUUUAUUUUUUUAUUUUUUUAUUUUUUCAGAGUAAAAAAUAUUCUGCAUGAAGAAAGUUACAUUUGUAAUUAGUUUAGCAAUUGGGAGGACUCUGAUUUUAUUCAGGUACAACACUAAUACAGGGCAGAUUGAUGAUAAAAUGAUGUAUUCCAUCGGUCCAAGACUGAAAGCUUUCUCUGGUUGGCUUCUCAAAGUCAUGGCAUCUGGUAAUUUGGAAGCCAUAUUCCCAGCCGCUACCCGUGAAUAUGCACCAUUUAUUGAGGAGUUGUGGAGGGAUGCAGGCUUCCAAGCCACAUACAACCGGAGAAAUGAAUUAGACAUGCUUCCCAGAAAAGCCACCUAUUUCCUAGAACGGGUUAGAUCACUCUCUAUUGUCCUUGUUUGCUGAGUAUUUCAUUAUUUGUAUUUGGUUCAGCUUCAGUAUAUAUCUUUUGUUUUUGGAUCCAUAGAGUCUUGAUUGUUUAUUUCAUUUGCCUCAUGAUUAUCCAGUGAUCUUGAAUUGCAUCCUCUAUUCCAUAGAUAUGUCAUAAUUGUCAAUGUACAUAUGACCUGUACUGUAAUUUAAAAAUUCCAAGUACAUAUUUAAUACUCUUGUAUUUUGGCUUCUUAUUAAUCAUGUGCUUUCUUAUCCCAUGUCAUUUCAGAAAGCACAUUUCAUAAAAGAUAUUUUUUGAAACCAAAAUGAAAGGCAUUCUGAAGUCACACCAUCAGUUCUCUUCUUGUAUUGUUUCUCGAAAGCUUGAACUAGGAAAGAUGAUUGUUUUGACUUGUAGUUCACUGUUUGCUAUUUUUUCAAUAUUAA
rnacentral:lncRNA from 1 species